CAGGACUUGGGAGCAGCGGUGUGGUACUAGAUCAACAGUUAUUUCAAAACGGGCAGCUCCUGACUCGGCGUGAGACUGAAUUGUAUUGUGCCCAGGUGGCGCUGUGUGCAAAUAGGAUUAUUGAAGGGGAGGAGUUUAGUGCUGAAAACCUUGAACUAUGACAUUCUGUGAGAAUGCUUAAUUUUAAAUAGAUGCCCCGCAAGAACAAUGGCUUUUGGUGUAACGGAGCUGUUAUGUGGAGAGGCUGAGAUGCAAAGGAAAGUUCCAAAACGUAUGGGAGAAGAUUUGCUGGAAAAUGACUUGGUUAAAACCUGACAGUCUUACCAGGAGCAUCCUGCAGGUCGAUGAAUACUAAUGAAGCUAUGACCGUCACCGAUUGAUGAUGAACAGCUUCAUUUGAAAUGACAGGGGUCGUUGUCUGCCUAUGGAAAGAGGCCAGUUUGCCAUGAAGUUCCUAAGGUGUAAACAUGUCUGGCUAGUGCCACGAGAUUUACUUGUCUGUUGUAUGAAAAACUGGUGAUCAGGAAAAGCUCUUCCUUUUAUGGACACGGAAAGAAAACAAAACUCAAGACAGAUUAUUUAUUUUUUUAAUUUUGAAAUUGCAUUUGUAAAUAGAUUUCUGAGCCAACAUCGAAUCUAGAUUAAUGCAUCCAUAAGAUUCAAGCCAUUUCUGUUUAAUCAUGUCACUGCCCUAGAGUCGUAACCUGUUAGCCAGUAUAUUAUUGACACUUUCUAGCUCUGAAACUGUUCUUAAUGGAAAAUUCUUUUUCACUUAUCCAGCCUUGUAAUUAAAUAAUUUUGAGUGAAUGUUUA